UGCGACACUACUGCAACGCACAAUGAAAUGGAUAUUUUUAGGAGGUGACCCUGGGAUGAGUUACUUCACAAUACCUACAAGCAUUAUCACAAAAACAUUUCAUUUCCAUACUUAGACACAAAAUUGUGACAGUAAUCCAGAAAAAUGAAAAAGGUUGCUGCUUACUACUAUUAUCUUGUUGUAUUUUUUCUCAUAUUAUUAAUGGAUGCGUGGUGUCUACAAAGCCAAGCCAGGAUCUUGGACUCGUCCCCUAUCAAAUCUGAAGGUACUGUUCAGUUAAAAAAUUUCUUGAAGUAUACAAUCAACCCAUCUAAAAACUUAAGUUGUUAGAGGGUAUGUAUUUUUAUUUUACGGGGGCUAAAACAGUUUAAUAAUGCUUUAACAUGGUGUGAUAUUAUCUGUUUUUGGUCCAUACCGGUUUUCACAAAAUGACUCACACUAUUAACAGUAUCCAAUUACACAUAACUUCUUUUUCUUUUUUCUUUUCUACUUUCCAUGUAAGACUUUGUUUACACACAACUAAUAAUCUCUCCUUCAACUAAGUUCCACAUAAUACAUCACCAUUCAUGGGCUAAUUUGGAAAUUAACUGUGUGGCACCCACAAAAUCUUGAGUAUUUACUGUCAUCAAAGUCUAAAGACUGUGUAUGCAUUUUCAAAGCUAUAGGUAAAGGUUAUAAACCCCACAGAUGGGCAAAGACACUAAGUUGGGCCCCACAUCACACUCCGCCAUUUCCAUAGUCUCGCCAAAUCGUUGACUCUUGUAGGGCUAAAACGGUCAAAGGAUAUUAUUAACAUAGUGUGAUUAUCCGCUUUAGGCCAAGCCUACACGAUUUUCACAAAAGGCUCCGUACUAUUAAAAGUAUUCAACUCCUUAUAAGUAAUUUCUUUUCUUUUCUAUUUUUCAUGUGUAACUUUCUUUAUAUACACUGAAUAUUUUUAAUAAUUAUAUCUUCAAAGACGUUUAUAUAUUCCUAUAUAUGACAGAUGAAGAAGAUAUGAAUGAUCUAAUCCGAGGUCGCAGUAACAGGGAGAGACAUCAUUUCGAAGACUAUUACCCUUCGCCUAAGGCAAAUGCUAAUAGUCAUCAGUAUGGUUCUAAGAGAUCCUUUAUUGAUUUCAUUUUUUUCUAUCUUCUUUUAUUCUAUUCCUGAAAGAUUGCUAACAGUAAAUUCCGUCAUAUGCACACAGCGGCAGAAGUCCACCGCCGUACCGGCACCGAUGAUUAUGAAAUAGGGAAGCUCCAAAAUAAGCUAAGUCGUGGACUAUACAACAACAACAUACCCAGUAUAAUUCACGAAUGGGGUCUGUGAAGGAUAGUGUGUCCGCAGAGCUCGGGAUAACUAUAGUUUGUAUUAUUAUAAGAAAAUAGACAAGAAAAAAAUAUCAAGAAGUUGCUUCCUAAAGCUUUGCUUGUUAUCUUUCUUUUGUAUUAUGUAUAUCUAGCUAGUUGCUGUUGUUAUUGGAAAAAAUAAAUCCAGAAUUAAGGAAUUUAUUAUAUAUGUGAAUCAGAUUUCAAUGCUUUCCAAAUGUAAUUUUUUGAUGAUUAAAGAACCCUUUGGGAAGUCAAAUUUGCUGCAAUCUGCCAAUCUACUAUGUAUCUAGUUUUCUAUCACUGCAC
rnacentral:lncRNA from 1 species